ACGGCUCAGUAACACGUGGACAACCUACCCUGAAGAGGGGGAUAACCCCGGGAAACUGGGGAUAAUACCCCAUAGGCUAUGGAUGCUGGAAUGCUCUGUAGUUGAAAGGUCCGCCGCUUCAGGAUGGGUCUGCGGCCGAUUAGGUUGUUGUUGGGGUAACGGCCCAACAAGCCUGUAAUCGGUACGGGUUGUGGGAGCAAGAGCCCGGAGAUGGAUUCUGAGACACGAAUCCAGGCCCUACGGGGCGCAGCAGGCGCGAAAACUUUGCAAUGCGAGCAAUCGUGACAAGGGAACUCCGAGUGCCUGUAAAAUCAGGCUGUCCGCCAGUGUAAAUAACUGGCGAAGAAAGGGCCGGGCAAGACCGGUGCCAGCCGCCGCGGUAAUACCGGCGGCUCGAGUGGUGGCCACUAUUACUGGGCUUAAAGCGUUCGUAGCUGGCUUGUUAAGUCUCUGGGGAAAUCUUCCGGCUUAACCGGAAGGCGUCUCAGGGAUACUGGCAGGCUAGGGACCGGAAGAGGUGAGAGGUACUCCAGGGGUAGGAGUGAAAUCCUGUAAUCCUUGGGGGACCACCUGUGGCGAAGGCGUCUCACCAGAACGGCUCCGACAGCGAGGAACGAAAGCUGGGGGAGCAAACCGGAUUAGAUACCCGGGUAGUCCCAGCUGUAAACGAUGCGCGUUAGGUGUAUCGGUGACCACGAGUCACCGAGGUGCCGAAGAGAAAUCGUGAAACGUGCCGCCUGGGAAGUACGGUCGCAAGGCUGAAACUUAAAGGAAUUGGCGGGGGAGCAC
rnacentral:rRNA from 1 species